GGGCACGACACCGGAGAGGGAGCCUGAGAAACGGCUACCACAUCCAAGGAUGGCAGCAGGCGCGCAAAUUACCCAAUCCCGACACGGGGAGGUAGUGACAAUAAAUAACAAUACGGGGUUCUUUCGGAUCUCGUAAUUGGAAUGAGUACAAUUUAAAUCUCUUAACGAGGAACAAUUGGAGGGCAAGUCUGGUGCCAGCAGCCGCGGUAAUUCCAGCUCCAAUAGCGUAUAUUAAAGUUGUUGCAGUUAAAAAGCUCGUAGUUGAAUUUCGGGAUCAGAUUGUCGGUCGUGCCUCGGUACGCACUGGCAUUAUUGGUUCCUACCUUCUGAAGAACCGCGAUGUCAUUAAUUUGGUGUCGUGGGGAAUCAGGACUGUUACUUUGAAAAAAUUAGAGUGUUUAAAGCAGGCGCACGCUUGAAUACAUUAGCAUGGAAUAAUGAAAUAGGACGUUUGAUUCUAUUUUGUUGGUUUCUAGGAUCGACGUAAUGAUUAAUAGGGAUAGUUGGGGGCAUUAGUAUUCAAUUGUCAGAGGUGAAAUUCUUGGAUUUAUUGAAGACUAACUACUGCGAAAGCAUUUGCCAAGGAUGUUUUCAUUAAUCAAGAACGAAAGUUAGGGGAUCGAAGACGAUCAGAUACCGNNGNAGUCUUAACCAUAAACUAUGCCGACUAGGGAUCGGAUGAU
rnacentral:rRNA from 1 species